CGAACGCUGGCGGCGUGCUUACCACAUGCACGUCGACCGGCAAGGCCCUGCUUUUGUGGGGUGCUCGAGUGGCGAACGGGUGAGUAACACGUGAGUAACCUGCCCUUGACUUUGGGAUAACUUCAGGAAACUGGGGCUAAUACCGGAUAGGAGCUCCUGCUGCAUGGUGGGGGUUGGAAAGUUUCGGCGGUUGGGGAUGGACUCGCGGCUUAUCAGCUUGUUGGUGGGGUAGUGGCUUACCAAGGCUUUGACGGGUAGCCGGCCUGAGAGGGUGACCGGCCACAUUGGGACUGAGAUACGGCCCAGACUCCUACGGGAGGCAGCAGUGGGGAAUAUUGCACAAUGGGCGGAAGCCUGAUGCAGCAACGCCGCGUGCGGGAUGACGGCCUUCGGGUUGUAAACCGCUUUCGCCUGUGACGAAGCGUGAGUGACGGUAAUGGGUAAAGAAGCACCGGCUAACUACGUG
rnacentral:rRNA from 1 species